rnacentral:rRNA from 1 species
AAAUUGAAGAGUUUGAUCAUGGCUCAGAUUGAACGCUGGCGGCAGGCCUAACACAUGCAAGUCGAACGGUAACAGAAAGCAGCUUGCUGCUUUGCUGACGAGUGGCGGACGGGUGAGUAAUGUCUGGGAAACUGCCUGAUGGAGGGGGAUAACUACUGGAAACGGUAGCUAAUACCGCAUAA